rnacentral:rRNA from 1 species
UACGUAGGGAGCGAGCGUUGUCCGGAAUUACUGGGUGUAAAGGGAGCGUAGGCGGUUUGAUAAGUUAGAGGUGAAAUGUCGGGGCUCAACCCCGAAACUGCCUCUAAUACUGUUGGACUAGAGAAUAGUUGCGGUAGGCGGAAUGUAUGGUGUAGCGGUGAAAUGCUUAGAGAUCAUACAGAACACCGAUUGCGAAGGCAGCUUACCAAACUAUAUCUGACGUUGAGGCACGAAAGCGUGGGUAGCAAACAGG